UCGAGAAUCUUCGGCAAUGGGCGCAAGCCUGACCGAGCGACGCCGCGUGGAGGAUGAAGGCCCUUGGGUUGUAAACUCCUGUCAGAGGGGAUGAAGUGUCAGCAAGUAAUAAAUAAUCUUGUUGAUUUGACAUAGCCUCAGAGGAAGCACGGGCUAAGUUCGUGCCAGCAGCCGCGGUAAUACGAACUGUGCAAACGUUAUUCGGAAUCACUGGGCUUAAAGGGUGCGUAGGCGGCUUAUCAAGUAGGGUGUGAAAGCCCCCGGCUUAACCGGGGAAUUGCGCCCUAAACUGACGAGCUGGAGUGGGACAGGGGUGUGUGGAACUUCCGGUGGAGCGGUGAAAUGUGUUGAUAUCGGAAGGAACGCCGGUGGCGAAAGCGACACACUGGGUCUCAACUGACGCUGAGGCACGAAAGCCAGGGGAGCGAACGG
rnacentral:rRNA from 1 species